AAGAGCUGCAGACUGACAGAGAUCAGCUGUUCUUCUCUGGCUUCAGCUCUGAGGUCAAACCCCUCUCUUCUGAGAGAACUGGAUCUGAGUAGAAACAACCUGCAGGACUCAGCAGUGAAGGAGCUGCUUGAUCUACAGCAGAGUCCAACCUGUCGACUGGAGACUCUGAGGUGGGAGGGGGGAUCUUUCUGGAGGUGAGUGUGAAGAGGACAGUGUGUGUGGACGGAGGCUGAGCUGUGUCCUGAGGAUCCAGAGGCUGAAGCAGCAGCAGCUUGUGUGUAGUCUCCAAUCUACAAAACCUCUAAUCUGCAUGUGUUUGUGAGAUGAAGCCGGAGCACCUGGAGAAAACACGAGGAGAACAUGCAGACUCCACACAGGAAGAACCCAUCUGAACCGGAUUCAAACCAGCAACCUUCCUGCCCCGAUUGUGUUUAUUCACAUGAAGAAUGUGUUUACUGAAAUGACACAACACAAGCAGAAUAUAUAAACCCUCUACAAAGAGUCACAUACAGUGUGUUUAAGUUUGUCUUUAUUAUUUUCCACCUUUGUCCCUCAGUCUGUCUCCAUGUGUGCAGAACCACAUUCUGUGUAUAUGUUUUUUUAUGAUCUUAAAGUUAAAGUUUUUUCUUUGAUAUAAAAGAUCAAAACUCUGGACUUAAAAAUGGGACGUUUUCAUUUCUGCAUCAGGUGCAGAGCGGUGGUGGCUUUUCUACUUAUGACCCACAGGUGGCGCUGCAGUAUAACAGCAGCACAUCCCAGUCCAAGCCUUUAUAUUCAGUCUAUGAGUCAAACACAUGGAUCAUUUCUUCUGUGACAAACCAGAUGUAACGAGAAGAAAAACAUCUCAGAGAGAAAAGUUCUGUUUCUACUUGUCUCUGCUUUAAUGCUCAAUAAACAUCCUUCCACCGACUUCA